CGCAUAGAAGUAAAGAGAUGGAGCUGCAAUGUCGUUUCCAAGAUUCAGCUUGGCGAAUGUGUGGUGCUGCUGCUCUGAUCAUUUGACGGAGUGGUGGUCUCUGCUAAUGUUUGCUGAGUGCAUUUAUUGGAAAUGAGCACUGCGACCGGUAUUUGUGCCGGUAUAAGCAUGGAAUUUCGUGGGCAGACCAACUCGGUAUCUGAUUCCUACUUUCCACUGCCUACCUGGUUGCGAAGACCGAUUACAUUGUUGCACUGGCUUGUCUCAGGCUGUAUGAUAAGGUUUGAAGUACGUUCGGUCCCUUGCUUGCAAGAACUGGUCUGCUUCAUGCUUAUAUUGUGCUACCCUGAAUCUGUGUAACGUGUCUGCGGUGUAUGUGUCAGCGUCCUAUCUCACCCGUCUUGAAACACGGACCAAGGAGUCUAACAUGUGCGCAAGUCAUUGGGCGGAAAACCCAAAGGCGCAAUGAAAGUAAGCUCCCUUGUGGAGUGAUGUACGAUCUGUAACUCCGGUUGCAGCGCAGUACAGUCCUGUCUUAUAUGCAUUGCCAUUUAGGCAGAGAAAGAGCGUACAUGUUGGGACCCGAAAGAUGGUGAACUAUGCCUGAGCAGGAUGAAGCCAGAGGAAACUCUGGUGGAGGUCCGUAGCGAUUCUGACGUGCAAAUCG
rnacentral:rRNA from 1 species